UUUCUCAGGUGCCUUUCACAAGUUUUCUGUGCAUCAGCACAAUGUCUCUGCCUUUGGGCCGUGGGGGUGUUUUGUACUGAGGAAGCCCAGGGUUGUGCCCAACAAAGCCAGCAGCACCCAGGCAAGCUGGAGUGCCAGGGGCCAGUGAGGAGAUGCUGGCACUCGGCAGGGAGAAUUCGGCCAGAGCAGUUUCUCUGUGAUUUUGGUCAGUUCAUGUCUGGGUGGGGACAGGGGAGAGUGCCUGGCCCUGCACUCCCCCACCUGCCCUCGGAGCCACUUGUCUCCUCCACCCACUCUGACCGGAUCUCGAGCUUCUUUCACAGAUUCCACUUUCUGUCCCCAAAGCCUCUCCUGCUGGGACAAGCCCUGCUCCAGCCUCUGUGUCCCUGGGGUGGGGAUGCUGGUGCCCAGCGCUGGGGCUGGCAGGGGCAGCCUGUGCCUGGGCCAGCGGGGGGCUGCAGGGGCAAUUAUUUGCCAUAUUGUGCUCUCGCUUGUGUUUAAAAACAACAACAGCUCAACUGACUCAUAGGUCCUACGGCCUCUGAGUCAUUUUUUAUUUCUGGAUUUCACUGCUCUGCCCUUUGCAAUGAAGGGAGUUGCAUGCUCACACACACACACACACACACACACACACACACAUAUCAAGUUCACAUUUGUUUUUCCCCUAUAAAAACAAAACGAUUUCCAUACCAUUAAUGAAACAGAAAUGGUUUGACUUCACGUACCCUGGCUUUUAUUUUCCAUUGUAUAAACUCUGCAGAUGAAAUAAUGAUGGUUGUAAAGUAAACCUCUCUUUUUUUUUUUUUUCCUUUCCCUUUCCAGGCAGCCUCUUUUCGAAAUAGCAAUAGGGAGUCACUUACAGACUUGGCUUGUGCUGCGCCUGUAGUAAUUAACCCCUUCAUCCCCAGCUUUCCCUCUGCUGGAAGUUAGCCACGGCGUGGGUGAAGGCAUCAGCAGGUCUCCUCUGGGACUAGAAGCAAAGCGGGGGAGCAGAGCAGGCGGGGAAAUGUGGGAAAGGAGGUCAAGAGCUGCUCCAGGCAGAGCAGUGGUGUGUGCCUGGAGCAAUGCACUCGUGGGCAGGACAGCUUUCCUGGGAGAGCCAGAGUGCUGGCACUGCAGGGCCAGAGGGCCGCUGUGAUUUUACGCAGCACUCGGAGGAGCAUCACUGGGGUGAGGUAACACCUCACACAGCAGCAGAGCCCGCUGGAGCUGGGCUGAGCUGCCCUCCCCACGAGGCUCUGAGCUCUCCUGACAGACCCCCACCAUCACACACGAUCUGCCUGUCUUCAAGGCCUCCACACGUGCCACAAGCGUUUUUCCUAAUCACAUUUAUCAUGCAGCAGCACAACCCUGCAUCCCCCAGCGCUGGAUCAGAUGCUUCACUGAUGCCUGGCCCUGGCGAGCUGGUGACACUGAGUUACUGUUCCUCUUCCCAGACUGGGUGAUGUGUUUUAUAUUAUUUCUCUUGGAUUUAUUGAGCAUUAUGUAACUGGCUAACCAAUCCCGCAUGCAAUGCAAUCGUGGCUGAUUUCAUGUCAGUGGAAAGUAAACAAAAAAAUUGCUCUGAAGUGGCUAAACUGAAAUUCAUUUCCACAUGCAGAGCAAUUCCUGGAGGAUCUUUCCCAUCUCCUCGUGGUUAAUUUGCAUCCAAGCUCUCAUGCAACCCAUUAGAAAAGAGUUAUGGAAAAAUUGCACAUAGAAUAUGACAGUGUGUUAUGAGGAAAAAUUAUUAAGAUGAAGUUUAUUUUACUUAAAUAUUUUUAAGUAAGUUUGCUGAUUUCUCCUGUGCCUUGAGAUGUGUGACACUUGCCUGUUUUUGUCUUUCAGCUGAGGAACUCAAAAUGUGAAAGUUACUGCCCAAAGAAAGUUUGGCACUAAAGUUUGAAAAACCAGGCAAGCCAACCCUGAGGUCCUGAAGCCCAGCAGGACCCAGCCCAACAGGACAAGGAAGAUGUUCUGCCCUUGCUGAGCUUUGGAAGCACUGCAAAUAUCAGGCUCUGCAUGAAUCCUGGAUUUCUGUGAGUAGAUGGAAUUGAAAUUGAAGGAUACCAUCCAAAUAGGUAAACACGUCAGAAACAUUAUCUGGGUCACAUUUGGGCACCAGGGUUCGCUCUGUUUUAAGUGCAAAUGGGUUAGUGAUGAUUUAGAUGAACUUCCUGAGGAGUGUUUGAAAUUCCUGGCACACAUUUGGUAUCCCAUCUGCUGGAAGGUCUUUGAUGAGCCCACAGAGAGACAUUGGACUGGAGCUGCUGCUCUUCAUCUCUGGUUGGACUUCUUGUGAUUGACCAGUUUGCAUUUUUUGCAUUUGUAUUACUUAGAUUCCCAAGGAGAGAAAGGGCUUGCAAGGGACUGUGUCACAAGCUGCUGGGGUAGAGAUGUUCUGUGAACUCUCCAUCCGUGUGCUGUCAUCAACUUGUUCCAACACUGCCAGCUCUUUAUGUCUGCUGAAACUAUUAUGUAGAGUCAAAUUUUGCCCUUGUUUAGGCCAGCUCUAACAGUAAUUAAGUAAUUUGUUCUGUCAGAGGGAACUUGAGGCUAGCUUGGGUUACAGAUACUAAAAACUUUCUGCCUUCUCCUGAAGUGUCCCAUGUUUAGCACAUAAUAAAUGGUGUCUUCUUCUCUUUUGUGCCCUUCUUCACUUGUUAAAAAUUAUCUUUUAAGGAAUUGUGUUGUAACUUACCAAAACACACUGCCUAGUAGGGUUGAAGUCAAACUGAAUAUUUUCCAUUUUUUAAAGCAGAAGAGAGCUAUGGUAGGAGGGCAGGGGGACUGCGAUUGGAAAGGAAUCUUUUUUAGAAAUGGAACCAGGAGUCCUAUUGACAGAGCCCGAAGUACUUUUUCUUUGUGCAUAGAAGUAACAGGAGCUUGUGUGUCUUUGCAAUGCCUCUCAAGAAAUCCCCCUUGCAGGAGAAGGAGAAGAUUCCCAUAAGUUCCAGCCCCUGGGCAGAGCUGCAGCACAGCUCCAGGGAGACUCAGCAGCUGGGGGAGAUGAGGUUCAGGGGGCAAAGCUGCUCUUCCAGCAUGGAAAAAAUAACAAAGCAAAUAUUCUCUAUUCCCCAUCUCCUGCUCUACAAUCUCAUCACUUUGCAUUAGUGCCCAGUCUUUUCAACUCAAUAUCCUGCCUCUGGACACCUCCUGAGACAUGCCACAAUCUGAAUAUGCUGAGCAGUGCUUCUGCCCAAGAGCUGCCUCCCAAGCCACAGCCUGUUGCAGAGCUGAUAGCCCUGGCCAGGGUGAAAGGAAGGCUCAGAUGUGAUGAUGCUGUUCUACAAGCAGGUGAGCACAGGACACAGAUACAAAACCACAGUAAAUGGUUGCUGAGACCUCACCCCCAAGCUAA